UGCCAGUGAGCUGCAGCUCUGUCCACAAUGUCUGACAUUACUUAGCCUAAAAAGCCUCGUUAUGAUUCCCAAAUAAGUCAUGACAAGGUCAGAAACAAAACAAGGAUAUGUAUAGGAGAUGCUUUUUAAAGAUGGAGACGACUGAAAGCGGAGAAGAAUUUGAAGACCGACGCCGAAGUCGCUAAUUUUCUCCUGGACAGCUAUGAUGGUCCCAGCACCUCAACCCCCAGUUAGAGGCAGAGAAAGUGGAAGAAGCACCCCUUGACUGCGCCCUCACUUUCCAGUAUUGGAUGUCCAUCAUCUGAAACACUUUCAAAUCGAGAGGACCAGCUGCCUGUGAUAGAAAGACUGGAAAAUCCUGA